rnacentral:rRNA from 1 species
AGAUUGAACGCUGGCGGCAGGCCUAACACAUGCAAGUCGAGCGGCAGCACGGGUACUUGUACCUGGUGGCGAGCGGCGGACGGGUGAGUAAUGCCUAGGAAUCUGCCUGGUAGUGGGGGAUAACGCUCGGAAACGGACGCUAAUACCGCAUUACGUCCUACGGGAGAAAGCAGGGGACCUUCGGGCCUUGCGCUAUCAGAUGAGCCUAGGUCGAUUAGCUAGUUGGUGAGGUAAUGGCUCACCAAGGCGACGAUCCGUAACUGGUCUGAGAGGAUGAUCAGUCACACUGGAACUGAGACACGGUCCAGACUCCUACGGGAGGCAGCAGUGGGGAAUAUUGCACAAUGGGACGAAAGCCUGAUGCAGCGACGCGCGUGAGGAUGAAGGCCGUUGGUUCGUAAACCUCUUUACGAGUCGAGGACGAAGCGCGAGGUCGACGGUACCUGAC